CCUACGGGUGGCAGCAGUGAGGAAUAUUGGUCAAUGGACGAGAGUCUGAACCAGCCAAGUAGCGUGAAGGAUGACUGCCCUAUGGGUUGUAAACUUCUUUUAUAUGGGAAUAAAACGCUCCACGUGUGGGGUUUUGUAUGUACCAUGUGAAUAAGGAUCGGCUAACUCCGUGCCAGCAGCCGCGGUAAUACGGAGGAGCCGAGCGUUAUCCGGAUUUUUUUGGUUUAAAGGGAGCGUAGGUGGAUUGUUAAGUCAGUUGUGAAAGGUUGCGGCGGAAACGGAAAAUUGCAGUUGAAACUGGCAGUCGUGAGUACAGUAGAGGUGAGCGGAAUUCGUGGUGUAGCGGUGAAAUGCGUAGAUAUCACGAAGAACUCCGAUUGCGAAGGCAGUUCACUGGACUGCAACUGACACUGAGGCUCGAAAGUGUGGGUAUCAAACAGGAGUAGAUACCCCAGUAGUC
rnacentral:rRNA from 1 species